rnacentral:rRNA from 1 species
CUGAAUGAAGUUUAAAGGGCCGCGGUAUUAUGACCGUGCAAAGGUAGCAUAGUCAAUAGUCUCUUAAUUGGAGGCUGGAAUGAACGGUUGGACGGGAAGAUAGCUGUCUUAACUGAGUACUACGAAUUUGACUUUUAUGUGAAAAGGCAUAAAUGGUUUGGGGGGACGAUAAGACCCUAUAAAACUUUAUAAUUUGAUUAGGAAUUUGAUUUGAGUUUAAUAUGUGCCUAAGGAUUGUUAUUUCGCUGGGGAGGUGGAAAUAAAAUUCUUCUAACUGUUUUAUAAUGUAAAUAACAAUAAUUAGAUGAUGACCCUGAAUUUUGGUUUAAAAGUUUAAGUUACUUUAGGGAUAACAGCGUAAUCUCUCUUGAGAGUUCAUAUCGACAGAGAUGGUUGCGACCUCGAUGUUGAAUUAAAAUUUCCUACAGGAGUAGAAAUUUGUGGGGUAGGUCUGUUCGACC